rnacentral:rRNA from 1 species
UUUCCUACGGGACGCAGCAGUGGGGAAUAUUGCACAAUGGGGGAAACCCUGAUGCAGCGACGCCGCGUGAGUGAAGUAGUAUUUCGGUAUGUAAAGCUCUAUCAGCAGGGAAGAAAAUGUCGGUACCUGAUUAAGAAGCCCCGGCUAACUACGUGCCAGCAGCCGCGGUAAUACGUAGGGGGCAAGCGUUAUCCGGAUUUACUGGGUGUAAAGGGAGCGUAGACGGUGAUGCAAGUCAGAAGUGAAAGCCCGGGGCUCAACUCCGGGACUGCUUUUGAAACUGUGUAACUGGAGUGCAGGAGAGG